AACGAACGCUGGCGGCAGGCUUAACACAUGCAAGUCGAGCGCAUCCUUCGGGGUUAGCGGCAGACGGGUGAGUAACGCGUGGGAAUCUACCUUUUGCUACGGAAUAGCUCCGGGAAACUGGAAUUAAUACCGUAUGUGCCCUUAGGGGGAAAGAUUUAUCGGCAAGAGAUGAGCCCGCGUUGGAUUAGCUAGUUGGUGGGGUAAAGGCCUACCAAGGCGACGAUCCAUAGCUGGUCUGAGAGGAUGAUCAGCCACAUUGGGACUGAGACACGGCCCAAACUCCUACGGGAGGCAGCAGUGGGGAAUAUUGGACGAUGGGCGCAAGCCUGAUCCAGCCAUGCCGCGUGAGUGAUGAAGGCCUUAGGGUUGUAAAGCUCUUUCACCGGAGAAGAUAAUGACGGUAUCCGGAGAAGAAGCCCCGGCUAACUUCGUG
rnacentral:rRNA from 1 species